rnacentral:lncRNA from 1 species
CCGCCUGCAGCUCCGCCCAGUUAGUGCGCUCCAGGGCGUCCCAGCAUGGCUGGUGGAGGUCCUCACAGCCCCAUCAUUUCACCUCUUGCAUUGUCUCACACUGAGUUUUUGGGGACACCUCCAUCCAAACCGUCACAGGUAGGCGAGUCCAGGUGAGGGAAGCUCAGGACUGGAGGCUGCGGCACCCGAGGACAGCUCUGUCGCUGGCCGCUCUCCGGAUUCUCUGGCCAUCCUGAAGGAAGGGUGGGCUGCCAUCCCAUCCACGCCCAACCUUCAGGGUGCCGCGCAUCCACCGGGGGCUGCCAGCUGCCGGCACAGCCCGUGGCUGGGGGACUGUCUGCUGCACAUUUGCCAAAUGAAGCCACCGCCGGCCUCGAGGCUCACAGUGGCCGACCUCCGGAGCCGGGCGCUGACAACUUCCAUCAAAACACAACAAAGAGAACCAGCUCUCUUCCUGUAGGCCUGACCUCCAGGGUAAGGGGGACCUGGGCCGAGUAAGGACCCAGGAAGAUCCUGAUCCCUGCUGACCACGAGCAGAGGACCUUCCUGGUUCCCCUCCUCCGACUGCACCAGGGCUGCCCUUUGUUAAAUCGCUCAGUUCUGGGAUUAACCAGAGCGAGCUGGACGGGUCCCCAGGCAGAUGUUGGCCGGGACUCUACCAUCUGGAGGCUUCCUCACUCUCCUCUGGAGCCUGGGCUGGGAUGGCUGGAGCAUCUGGAAGCUCCCUGGGCAUCUCGUCCCUGAACCUCUUUGCUUGGUACCUUGGGCUUCCUUAGAGUGAGGGGGGCCAGGGAAGUCGGGCUCCUCCCGUGGGCUCGGCUCCUCCCAUAGCAAAUGUUACAAGAGGUCAGGAGCAGGGGAGCUUAAAGGGUAUGCCAGGAACUGGCACGGUGGCACUUCUACCUGGGUUUUCCACAUAGCCAAGGAGCCCUCCUGCAAUCAAGGAGAGACAGACUGAAGUGGGUAAUAAGGUCAUCUCGCAGAGUAGAUGUGGUGUGGACGACACUCAUGCAGCCACCUUUAGAACAUACCAUCGGCCUCGCCGGAGAUCCCAAAAGAGAUGGGCCUCACCUGCAGAUUCUCAAAUGACUUUCAGACCUCCAGAAACACUGACGCUCGGGAGUGUUCCCAUUCUUCCUUUGGGGUACAAAAUGAGAACACACAUUUCCUUACCGCCAGGAUUUCACUUACCUCCAGGGAUUUUAAGCCCUUCACAGGCAAGGGCACCAACAACCCCGGCUUCUUGGAGGGUUUCCCCAACCUCUGACUCCUCCUACCAAUGGGGGUGUUCCAGCCUUCCCUCACCCCAAAUUUGGGUCUGGAAUCAUGUGGACACCUCUUACCCUUCAUCCUUAAGUCUGUCUCAUUCACUGUUCUGAGCUCUGCUCAGAAUAAUAAACCACAAGAGUUCUCUCCCACCUGGUGGAAGCCCCUGGCUCAUCCGCCAGGCCCUCCUCCGUCUUGAGGCCUUCCUCAAGUCUGGAUCAUGCUGAUUUUUUUUUUUUUUUUUUGGUACCUG